CAAUAGCGUAUAUUAAAGUUGUUGCAGUUAAAAAGCUCGUAGUUGGAUUUCUGGUGGGAGCGAUCGGUCUGGCGCUUAGCGCGAGUACUUGCAUCGUCUCCGGCCAUCCUUGGGGAGAGUCUGUCUGGCAUUAGGUUGUCGGGCAGAGGAUCCUCAUCGUUUACUGUGAAAAAAUUAGAGUGUUCAAAGCAGGCUUAUGCCGUUGAAUAUGUUAGCAUGGAAUAAUAAGAUAGGACUUUGGUACUAUUUUGUUGGUUUGCGCACCAAAGUAAUGAUUAAUAGGGACAGUUGGGGGUAUUCGUAUUCCGUUGUCAGAGGUGAAAUUCUUGGAUUUACGGAAGACGAACUACUGCGAAAACAUUUACCAAGGAUGUUUUCAUUAA
rnacentral:rRNA from 1 species